AGGGCUAUAGCUCAGCUGGUAGAGCACCUCGGAAGGUCUACGGUUCGAGUCCGUAUAGCCCUA
rnacentral:tRNA from 1 species